UCCUCUUUUUUAUUUCUUUCCAUGGGCUUGGAUGGUGGGAAGUGGAGCAAACAUCUCUGACAAGAUUAAAGAAGUCUGCAUGUUGAGAAUAUUCAGAGUAAUGGGAUAGAAAUAAUCUGGGUUCCUAUAUUACUUACUAUAAUGAUUCAAUGAAGAGAUGGCAGAUGAAGACUUGAACUAAGGAUGUUUCCAUUGAUUGAUUAGAGAAAGAGGAAGAAAGAGAGAAAGAGAAAGAAACAUGGAUCAGUUCCUUCCUGCACAUACCCCAAACUUGGAUCUAACCCACAACAUGGAUACGUGCCCUGUCCAGGAAUCAAACCCACAAUCUUUUGGUGUAUGGGACAACACUCUAAGAAUCUACAUGGUCUCGAAGUUGUUUUCUGAAAAUAUACAAUCAUAUUCUCGACCAAAAGUUAAUAAAGGAAUCUUUUCUAUAAA